rnacentral:lncRNA from 1 species
GAAAGAUCUCCCAUGCUCAUGGAUUGGCAGGAUUAAUUUAGUAAAAAUGGCCAUUUUACCAAAAGCAAUCUACAGAUUCAAUGCAAUCCCCAUCAAAAUACCAAUCCAAUUCUUCAAAGAGUUAGACAGAACAAUUUGCAAAUUCAUCUGGAAUAACAAAAAACCCAGGAUAGCUAAAGCUAUCCUCAACAAUAAAAGGACUUCAGGGGGAAUCACUAUCCCUGAACUCAAGCAGUAUUACAGAGCUAUAGUGAUAAAAACUGCAUUGUAUUGGUACAGAGACAGACAGAUAGACCAAUGGAAUAGAAUUGAAGACCCAGAAAUG